rnacentral:snoRNA from 14 species
GGCAGUUAUGUGUACUUGCACUGAUAUUGUGAUUUGUAAGAUUACGGAAACUGCCAAAAACAAAUUAGAUUAUAUAAAGAAAUGUCUUAUUCUAGUUAAUCUGUUUUGGACUCUUUGUAUACUCAUAUUU